CUCAGGACGAACGCUGGCGGCGUGCUUAACACAUGCAAGUCGAACGGAGCACCCUUGACUGAGGUUUCGGCCAAAUGAUAGGAAUGCUUAGUGGCGGACUGGUGAGUAACGCGUGAGGAACCUGCCUUCCAGAGGGGGACAACAGUUGGAAACGACUGCUAAUACCGCAUAAGCGCACGGUAUCGCAUGAUACAGUGUGAAAAACUCCGGUGGUAUAAGAUGGACCCGCGUCUGAUUAGCUUGUUGGCGGGGUAACGGCCCACCAAGGCGACGAUCAGUAGGGGUUCUGAGAGGAAGGUCCCCCACAUUGGAACUGAGACACGGUCCAAACUCCUACGGGAGGCAGCAGUGAGGAAUAUUGGUCAAUGGACGAGAGUCUGAACCAGCCAAGUAGCGUGCAGGAUGACGGCCCUAUGGGUUGUAAACUGCUUUUAUAAGGGAAUAAAGUGAGUCUCGUGAGGCUUUUUGCAUGUACCUUAUGAAUAAGGACCGGCUAAUUCCGUG
rnacentral:rRNA from 1 species